CUACCAUGCAAGUCGAACGGCAGCACAGAGGAGCUUGCUCCUUGGGUGGCGAGUGGCGGACGGGUGAGGAAUACAUCGGAAUCUACUCUGUCGUGGGGGAUAACGUAGGGAAACUUACGCUAAUACCGCAUACGACCUACGGGUGAAAGCAGGGGAUCUUCGGACCUUGCGCGAUUGAAUGAGCCGAUGUCGGAUUAGCUAGUUGGCGGGGUAAAGGCCCACCAAGGCGACGAUCCGUAGCUGGUCUGAGAGGAUGAUCAGCCACACUGGAACUGAGACACGGUCCAGACUCCUACGGGAGGCAGCAGUGGGGAAUAUUGGACAAUGGGCGCAAGCCUGAUCCASCCAUACCGCGUGGGUGAAGAAGGCCUUCGGGUUGUAAAGCCCUUUUGUUGGGAAAGAAAUCCAGCUGGCUAAUACCCGGUUGGGAUGACGGUACCCAAAGAAUAAGCACCGGCUAACUUCGUGCCAGCAGCCGCGGUAAUACGAAGGGUGCAAGCGUUACUCGGAAUUACUGGGCGUAAAGCGUGCGUAGGUGGUCGUUUAAGUCCGUUGUGAAAGCCCUGGGCUCAACCUGGGAACUGCAGUGGAUACUGGGCGACUAGAGUGUGGUAGAGGGUAGCGGAAUUCCUGGUGUAGCAGUGAAAUGCGUAGAGAUCAGGAGGAACAUCCAUGGCGAAGGCAGCUACCUGGACCAACACUGACACUGAGGCACGAAAGCGUGGGGAGCAAACAGGAUUAUAUACCCUGGUAGUCCACGCCCUAAACGAUGCGAACUGGAUGUUGGGUGCAAUUUGGCACGCA
rnacentral:rRNA from 1 species